AUUUAUGUAGUUUAAAGAAAACAUUACAUUUUCACUGUAAAGAUAUCCCCUACAAAAAUCAUAAAUU
rnacentral:tRNA from 2 species